rnacentral:rRNA from 1 species
GACGAACGCUGGCGGCGUGCUUAACACAUGCAAGUCGAACGGAAAGGCCCCUUUGGGGGUACUCGAGUGGCGCACGGGUGAGUAACACGUGAGUAACCUGCCCUUGACUUCGGGAUAACUUCAGGAAACUGGGGCUAAUACCGGAUAGGAAUCCUUGCUGCAUGGUGGGGGUUGGAAAGCUUCGGCGGUUUUGGAUGGACUCGCGGCUUAUCAGCUUGUUGGUGGGGUAGUGGCUUACCAAGGCUUUGACGGGUAGCCGGCCUGAGAGGGCGACCGGCCACAUUGGGACUGAGAUACGGCCCAGACUCCUACGGGAGGCAGCAGUGGGGAAUAUUGCACAAUGGGCGGAAGCCUGAUGCAGCAACGCCGCGUGCGGGAUGACGGCCUUCGGGUUGUAAACCGCUAUCAGCAGGGGCGAAGCUUGUGGUGACGGUACCUGCAGAAGAAGCACCGGCUAACUACGUG